ACUCAAAUGAAUUGACGGGGGCCCGCACAAGCGGUGGAGCAUGUGGUUUAAUUCGAUGCAACGCGAAGAACCUUACCUACUCUUGACAUCCAGAGAACUUAGCAGAGAUGCUUUGGUGCCUUCGGGAACUCUGAGACAGGUGCUGCAUGGCUGUCGUCAGCUCGUGUUGUGAAAUGUUGGGUUAAGUCCCGCAACGAGCGCAACCCUUAUCCUUUGUUGCCAGCGGUUAGGCCGGGAACUCAAAGGAGACUGCCAGUGAUAAACUGGAGGAAGGUGGGGAUGACGUCAAGUCAUCAUGGCCCUUACGAGUAGGGCUACACACGUGCUACAAUGGCGCAUACAAAGAGAAGCGACCUCGCGAGAGCAAGCGGACCUCAUAAAGUGCGUCGUAGUCCGGAUUGGAGUCUGCAACUCGACUCCAUGAAGUCGGAAUCGCUAGUAAUCGUGGAUCAGAAUGCCACGGUGAAUACGUUCCCGGGCCUUGUACACACCGCCCGUCACACCAUGGGAGUGGGUUGCAAAAGAAGUAGGUAGCUUAACCUUCGGGAGGGCGCUUACCACUUUGUGAUUCAUGACUGGGGUGAAGUCGUAACAAGGUAG
rnacentral:rRNA from 1 species